UACGGAGGAUGCAAGCGUUAUCCGGAUUUAUUGGGUUUAAAGGGUGCGUAGGCGGAUUAAUAAGUCAGUGGUGAAAGUUUAUCGCUUAACGGUAAAAUUGCCAUUGAUACUGUUAGUCUUGAGUGUAUUUGAGGUAGGCGGAAUGUGUAGUGUAGCGGUGAAAUGCUUAGAUAUUACACAGAACACCGAUUGCGAAGGCAGCUUACUAAGAUACAACUGACGCUGAGGCACGAAAGUGUGGGGAUCAAACAGG
rnacentral:rRNA from 1 species